CCUUGGUCCUUGAAUCUAGGCUCUGUGACUCCUUCACCAAUAGAUUAUAGGGGAAGUUGCCCCAUGCUAGCUUCUGGGCCCAACAUUCAGAAACUGGCAACUUCCUCUCUCUUGGGUUGCUCACUCUUGGAAGCCGGCCACCACACUGUAAAGAAGUGGGCAGGCAUUUAGGUGUUUGAGCUGGCGGUUCCAGCUGAGGUCCCAGCCGACAGCCAGCAUCAACCACUAGAUGCACUGAGCGAGCCUUCAAAUGGCUCUUUGCACACAGUGGAGAUGGACCGUCCCCACCACACCCUGCCCAAGCUGCACAUUUGUGAGCAAAAUACAUUGUUGUUUUCAGCCCUACAUUGGAGGUGGCUUGUUAGAUAACAGGAACCCAGGCCAAGGCAGGCUCCCAAUCCUCAGAACCAGUCCUAACUUGAAUGGCAGAGAGUUCUGCCUCCGCCAUGAGUCGGGUCAGCCUGACCUUGGUUCCCCACCUGCGCAUAGGAGUGACUCAGAGCAUCUGCCGGAUGAAAGAAUGAGGAUAGAUUCCAGUCGUGAAAACCGAACUUCUGCUUUAUCCUGACCUGCAUUCUUCCUCUAGUCGCCUUGGUGUAUUUUUCAGCCUUGAUUGUGACAAUCGUGUCCAUUUACUAAAUACAGUUUGCAGGUGUUCCAAAUAUCUAAAAAAACUAAGUUUGGAGCUGCUCUGGGUGCUGCCAGCCUGGUCCCCCUUCCCCACCCUGCAGAGUCCCUGAGGAGCUCGUGGAAACCGAUGGCCUCAUUCAUCCGUGUAAUCUUUGGUCCUGCUCCUGAGUUCUGUCCUGACCACUUCGCUCUCCCAAAGAGUUGUCUGUUACUGGCUGCCACGUCCCUUGAAGUUCUGGAAAUUCUGUUGCUCAGUCCAAUGAACACAGAUCACAUUGACAGUAGACACCCAAGACUCCAAGAUGGCAUCAGUCAUGCCAGUGAAGAAGAAACUCAAGUUGCCAAACCAAGGGAGCUGCCAACCUGGUUACUGAUGUGGAAUUUCACCCCUAACGGCAUUGUUGGAGCAUUUCAAAGAGGUUACUUACCACCGGUCUCACAACCAGUACGUCAGUGUGAACAAAGGGAGCAUUGCUGGCGUUUCUAUGGUGCCGGCGGACCUGCCUUUCAACUACUACUUUCCUUACACAGAACUCACGUGUGCACAGCCACGCACAGACCACCGCAGAGAGUGUGGAGGGUGCACUCUGUAAUCCUGACCAUCUUUGCUUAGCACCCCUGAAUCCUUUCAUAUCCUAAUUGAGAAUUAACACCCAAUAAAGAAAUACUGGCU